ACCCUGGCAUAAAGAUGUACUGAAAGAACAUCCCCAUACCAUGGUAUUCAUGGAUGCUACUUACAAGCCAUGACAUCGUAUGGUUAUGCAUUUUAUGCACUUCUCUUGACCAACUCUAUCGGAAGAGCAGUCCCAUUCGCUUACUUUAUUAUUAGUGAGGAAUCAGCGGACAUACUUGCUCUUUGUUUUGAAAAGCUUGCAAAACACAACCCUGGAUUUCUUCCCAGGUCAGAAGUUUACGGUAUUUUGGCAGCAACAUUUUCUGAUGUUUUGAUGUAUUUCUAGGUACAAACAUGGCUAUUGGAUGGAAAACUUGAAUAAAGACAGCAAAUUGUAAACUACCUUUUUACACAAGCUGUUCAUUUUGACAAACUCUACAGAUGUUGACUUAUCUUAUUUCCUUCUCAAUUCCUCAUCAUGUAGGUCGAUAAUGAUUGACCGUGACCUUAAGGAACUCAAUGCCAUCUGAAGAGUUUUUCCUACAGCCAAGGUUCUUCUUUGUUGGUUUCAUGUACUCCAGGCUGUGCAUAGAUGGAUGGUCAGAAGAGAUGGAGGGAACUUGCCAGUGAAUCAACGAAAUACUGUGAUUCAAGCAUUGGUGUCAAUGAAAUCCUGUUUAACGGAAGAAGAGUUUAACAGCAUGUCAGCCAGAAAGUGCGAGGAGCUUGAUGCAUGUCUGGGUAGUUCACAUGUAUCGACCUACCUUAAGAAUCAGUGGAUGUCUUUAGGAGAUUUGUGGUCUAAUUUUGGCAGGUCAUUCUAUCACCACAACAGCGAAACCAACAACAAGGCAGAGAGAUUUUUUCUCACAAUGAAGUACCAGUUUCUUAAGGGUAGGAUGAAUAGCAGGAUUGAUCAGCUUCUUCGCUUGCUGUGUGGUGAUGUACAAAAAUAUUACAGGUAAUUUGAAGUUCAUGGUAAUACUUUUG